rnacentral:rRNA from 1 species
AACGCGAAGAACCUUACCAGGGCUUGACAUCCCUUGAUCGCUGCAGAAAUGCAGUUUCCAUAGCAAUAUGGCAGGGUGACAGGUGCUGCAUGGCUGUCGUCAGCUCGUGUCGUGAGAUGUUGGGUUAAGUCCCGCAACGAGCGCAACCCUCGUCGUCUGUUGCCAUCAUUUAGUUGGGCACUCAGUCGAGACCGCCGUUGAUAAGACGGAGGAAGGUGGGGAUGACGUCAAGUCAGCAUGGCCCUUACGUCCUGGGCCACACACGUGCUACAAUGGCCGGUACAACGGGCAGCGAGAUCGCGAGAUCAAGCGAAUCCCUUAAAACCGGUCUCAGUUCGGAUUGCAGGCUGCAACUCGCCUGCAUGAAGUCGGAAUCGCUAGUAACCGCAGAUCAGCUACGCUGCGGUGAAUACGUUCCCGGGCCUUGUACACACCGGAGUA